AGUAACGCGUGGGUAACCUGCCUCAUACAGGGGGAUAACAGUUAGAAAUGACUGCUAAUACCGCAUAAGCGCACAGUGCUGCAUGGCACAGUGUGAAAAACUCCGGUGGUAUGAGAUGGACCCGCGUCUGAUUAGCUAGUUGGUGGGGUAACGGCCUACCAAGGCGACGAUCAGUAGCCGGCCUGAGAGGGUGAACGGCCACAUUGGGACUGAGACACGGCCCAAACUCCUACGGGAGGCAGCAUGC
rnacentral:rRNA from 1 species